AUCCCAUAAUGAGGACACUUACGAAGCAAUUCCUUGAAUCUUUCCCCUGCCUCGUAAAAGGACUCGUCAUCCAAUUGUUGAAAAGUGGUUAUCUUAUUUUGUAACU
rfam:Gossypium raimondii Chr11_contig_450, whole genome shotgun sequence.